CUGUGCUGUGCCUUUGUUUCUGGGGAGAGCGCUGGUUAGCUCAGCAGCCGCACCAUGAAUGCAGUGACCUAUGACAAUGUGCAUGUUGACUUCACUCAGGAAGAGUGGGCUUUGCUGGAUCCUUCCCAGAAGAAUCUCCAUAAAGAUGUGAUAGUGAAGACUACAGGAUCCUUACUGCUAUAGGACUGUAGUCUCCAAACACAUAAAAGAACACAUACAGGAGAGAAAGAAACCCUAUGAAUGUAGUCGAUGUGGUAAAGCCUUUCAUGUCACAGUAUGUUUUCAACUAAUAAAAGAACACAUGGGAGAGAAACUCUAUGAAAGUAUUGUGGUGUCAAGCCUUUCACGUCACAUAAUCUAAUGCAUAAAAGAACAUAUAUUGGAGAGAACCUCUAUGAAAGUGAUGUGUUAAAGCCUUUGCACAUCAUUGUAGUCUUUGAAAUUCUGAGAAAAAAAAUCAUACUGCAGAGCAAAUAUUAAUGUAGUCAGUAUGGUAAGGUUUUGCACUUUGUGGUGGUCUUUAUAUAAACCUUUUAGUGUUCAGUCAUUCUGUUAUAGCUUGUUCAUAUCACAAAUAGUCUUUGAGGACCUGAAAAAAACUCAUAUAGAAGAAAGUCUGGCUAUAAAGGAUUUCAUAAGAUCUUUAGCUAACACAUUCUAGUUACAUAAGAGUAUUCCGGAGAAAAUAAUUUCACAGUGUCAACAAUCUGUUCAAUCAGUAUAAUGCCCGUCUUUAUUUUGUUUGCACUUGCAAACUCAUAUGGACAAAGCCCUACAAAUUUAAAUGCUAAAGUAAGCCUUUUAGAUUUCCUCUUCAAUGACAUGAAAUAACUAAUUCAGGUAUAAAACUUCAUGAAUGUUUAUUUGUGCCUUUUCCGUUGUGAUAAAACAUAAUGUUUAUAUCAACUCAUGAAAGAGUUUGACUCUUGGUUCCAGAGGGAUACAGGAUCACAGUGAAAGUGGCAUGGCAACAGGUGUCAGACAUGGCUGCUUUAUAUCAUGAUGCUUAGAUCUUACAUCCUCAACCUGCAGGAUGAACCAGAGAGUGGAAACUGGAAAUGCUGUGCUGAUGUAAAUUAUGAAAUCCCAGUGACAUAUUUCCUCCAGCAGGGCAUCAUUUCCUAAUUCAUCCCAAAUGAUACCACCAACUAAGAAGUAUUGAUUUCUCUGACUUCUCUGACUUCAUGCUUGUUUUCUGUUAUAUGAAGCAGUCCAUGAUACUGAAAAACUGUAGUUUUUAUCCAUUUGGCACUCAUCUUGAAGUAUUUCCUCCUAAAGGAAUUAUCUACAGAUGCCAGGUAAUGUAAAGACAGAUUUAUUUUUUAAAAACAUGUCUGGUGUGUGUGUGUGUGUGUGUGUGUGUGUGUGUGUGUGUGUGUGUGUGUGUGAUGGGUUACAAUGGGUAACAGAUAUGUUUGUGGGUUUUCUUUUAGCCCUGUUCACAUGUGAUCAAGGUCAGGUUUCCAGUCUUGCACACAACAUCACAUCGUUUAUUCUGGGGGAGUAAACACUUGUGUACCAGCACCGAUGUCCCCAGGAGCCAGGGAGAUGAAAUGCCAACUCAAGGGAUGAUUCGAUGAGCCACCACAUCUGCUGUUCCCAUUGUAGAAAACUUGUCAAGGCAGUGAAGGAACCUCUCACAUUUGAUUGUAACUGCAAGACCAAACAAGGAAAAUGGGUGCAUGACAAGGACAGGGCCCUGAAACCAUUACUACAGCGACUCCAUCAAAGACCUCAGCAAUGAAGAAAAGUGACUAGAAAAGGUAAGGUAACGAA
ensembl:lncRNA